AAUAUAUUUCUUUAGUUUUCAUUUGCGACUGCUUUAUAUAAUUAUUAUUGCAUGUCAAAGUCACUCAAUCGUCUGUAUAAACACCAGGUGUCUGGGAAUUCAGAAUAAACAUGAAAUAUGGUACCUUUCAUACAAAAGCUUAUAUAAAAUAUGGCAUUUUAGAUAUGCUUAUGUUUUACAGUAGCACAAUUUAAUACUAUCAGUAAUUACAUAUUUUUACAUAAACUGUUAUCUAUUUUAUUUGUCCAUAUUCCCUAAUUCCCAUAUUCCUCUGUUUCCAAUUGUAUUAACCAGUCUUUUUAUUUAACCCUUCCUCGCAGAGAAAAUAUUCAUACUCCCUAAUCACAGGUUUGAUCCUAUGCAUACCUGUAAUUGGUGUGGGGCCACAUUCAAGUACCUACAGUUAUGCCCCCUGUGCUCCUUCGUGACCUUGUACAUUUGAAUGAACUAGAGUAACAAGAUAGCCAUCAUGUCCUUGAACUCUGCCUCCACGAUAUAUAACGUAUAUACACUAGUAUAAGCCGACCCGAAUAUAAGCCGAGGCACCUAAUUUUACCACAAAAAAACUGGGAAAACGUAUUGACUCGACUAUAAGCUUAGGGUGGAAAAUGCAGCAGCUACUACAAGUUACAUUAAAGGACCACUAUAGUGCCAGGAAAACAUACUCAUUUUCCUGGCACUAUAGUGCCCUGAGGGUGCCCCCACCCUCAAGGUCCCCCUCCCGCCCGGCUCUGGAAGGGGGAAAGGGGUUAAAACUUACCUUUUUCCAGCGCUGGG